rnacentral:rRNA from 1 species
CCGCCGGCGACCGGCGCACGGGUGAGUAACACGUAUGCAACCUGGCCGUGACAGAUGGAUAACCGGGAGAAAUCCCGCCUAAUACAACAUAAUGCCGGGAGGGGACAUCCCCUGCCGGUCAAAGGGGGCGACCCCGGGUCAUGGAUGGGCAUGCGGCGCAUUAGGUAGUUGGUGGGGCAACGGCCCACCAAGCCGACGAUGCGUAGGGGUUCUGAGAGGAAGGUCCCCCACAUUGGAACUGAGACACGGUCCAAACUCCUACGGAAGGCAGCAG